AUUGAACGCUGGCGGCAGGCUUAACACAUGCAAGUCGAGCGGGGGAAGGUAGCUUGCUACUGGACCUAGCGGCGGACGGGUGAGUAAUGCUUAGGAAUCUGCCUAUUAGUGGGGGACAACAUCUCGAAAGGGAUGCUAAUACCGCAUACGUCCUACGGGAGAAAGCAGGGGAUCUUCGGACCUUGCGCUAAUAGAUGAGCCUAAGUCGGAUUAGCUAGUUGGUGGGGUAAAGGCCUACCAAGGCGACGAUCUGUAGCGGGUCUGAGAGGAUGAUCCGCCACACUGGGACUGAGACACGGCCCAGACUCCUACGGGAGGCAGCAGUGGGGAAUAUUGGACAAUGGGGGGAACCCUGAUCCAGCCAUGCCGCGUGUGUGAAGAAGGCCUUAUGGUUGUAAAGCACUUUAAGCGAGGAGGAGGUUACUCUAGCUAAUACCUAGGGAUAGUGGACGUUACUCGCAGAAUAAGCACCGGCUAACUCUGUGCCAGCAGCCGCGGUAAUAC
rnacentral:rRNA from 1 species